rnacentral:rRNA from 1 species
CAGUCGCCGCGGGAACACGUAGGGUGCGAGCGUUAAUCGGAAUUACUGGGCGUAAAGCGUGCGCAGGCGGUUCGUUAAGACAGAUGUGAAAUCCCCGGGCUUAACCUGGGAACUGCAUUUGUGACUGGAUGACUAGAGUACGGCAGAGGGGGAUGGAAUUCCGCGUGUAGCAGUGAAAUGCGUAGAUAUGCGGAGGAACACCGAUGGCGAAGGCAAUCCCCUGGGCCUGUACUGACGCUCAUGCACGAAAGCGUGGGGAGCAAACAGGAUUAGAUACCCCAGUAGUCCCUGUCUCUUAUAC